rnacentral:lncRNA from 1 species
AAAAUAGAGCAAGACACAUACAUGUCCCAUCCCAUCCCCCCCCAAAAAAGAUGAUUGUGUUCUGGGUACUCCAGACCUAUGACCCGUGGAAUGAGGCCAAAUGAAGCAGAUGAAGACCACUCAGGCUGAGACAAUG